CUAGUCAGGGUACUCAGUGCCCAAACUUCAACCCUUUGACUUAAUAAAUUUGUUUCUUUGCCGGUUUCGACCGGCAGAAGUUUUCUCAAACUCCUUACAAAAUUGUCUUCUGAAAUAUAAUAAAUAAUAAUUA
rnacentral:misc_RNA from 1 species